UCGAGGAUCUUCGGCAAUGGGCGAAAGCCUGACCGAGCGACGCCGCGUGCGGGAUGAAGGCCUUCGGGUUGUAAACCGCUUUCGGAGGGGAGGAAAUCGAGGAGGGAUCACCCUUCUCGUUGACCUAUCCUAAGAAGAAGGACGGGCUAAGUUCGUGCCAGCAGCCGCGGUAAUACGAACCGUCCAAACGUUAUUCGGAAUUACUGGGCUUAAAGGGUGCGUAGGCGGCCCGGGAAGUUGGGUGUGAAAUCCCUCGGCUUAACCGAGGAAUUGCGCCCAAAACUGCCGGGCUUGAGGGAGAUAGAGGUGAGCGGAACUUAGGGUGGAGCGGUGAAAUGCGUUGAUAUCCUAAGGAACACCGGUGGCGAAAGCGGCUCACUGGGUCUCUUCUGACGCUGAGGCACGAAAGCUAGGGUAGCGAACG
rnacentral:rRNA from 1 species